rnacentral:rRNA from 1 species
UCAUUACUGACACUGAGGAACGAAAGCAUGGGUAGCGAAGAGGAUUAGAUACCCUCGUAGUCCAUGCCGUAAACGAUGUGUGUUAGACGUUGGAAAUUUAUUUUCUGUGUCGCAGCGAAAGCAAUAAACACACCGCCUGGGGAGUACGACCGCAAGGUUAAAACUCAAAUGAAUUGACGGGGACCCGCACAAGUAGUGGAGCAUGUGGUUUAAUUCGAAGAUACGCGCAGAACCUUACCAACACUUGACAUGUUCGUCGCGACUUUAAGAGAUUAAAGUUUUCGGUUCGGCCGGACGAAACACAGGUGCUGCAUGGCUGUCGUCAGCUCGUGUCGUGAGAUGUUGGGUUAAGUCCCGCAACGAGCGCAACCCUCACUUUUAGUUGCCAUCAUUUAGUUGGGCACUCUGAAAGAACUGCCAGUGAUAAGCUGGAGGAAGGUGGGGAUGACGUCAAGUCCUCAUGGCCCUUACGUGUUGGGCUACACACGUGCUACAAUGGCACUUACAAUAGGAAGCAAGACGGCGACGUUAAGCAAAUCCUAAAAAAGUGCCUCAGUUCGGAUUGUACUCUGCAACUCGAGUACAUGAAGCUGGAAUUACUAGUAAUCGCGGAUCAGCGCGCCGCGGUGAAUACGUUCCCGGGUCUU